UUUUACUGCACUGAAACUUUGGUGAGAAGAUUGAGUUUCAAAACUCAAUUCAAGAUUGAGUUUUUGGGGCCGUUUAACGGCCCUAAAAAAUCCCUGAAAAAACCCCUGCAUAUACAUGUCUUGAAAAUCAAGCGAUAAAACUAUUUGGUUUAUAUAAGGCACAUUGCUUAGACUUGACUGAAGGCUGAUUUACACCACACAACUUUUGCCUAAAACUGCGUGCAACAUUGCAACCUGCUUACAACUUGAGUUGUGCUGUGUAAUUCAGGCACAAUGCAACUCGCCGACGUCAGUGGGUUGUGUGCUUGAUUUACACAGUACAACUCAAGUUGUAAGCAGGUUGCAAGCAAGAUAUAAACAAUCUGUAAUAGAGUUUAAUACGUAUAUAGUUUUGAGAG
rnacentral:lncRNA from 1 species